rnacentral:rRNA from 1 species
AUUGAACGCUGGCGGUAUGCCUAACACAUGCAAGUCGAACGAGUGGCGGACGGGUGAGUAAUGUCUGUGACCCUGCCUGAUGGAGGGGGAUAACUACUGGAAACGGUAGCCAAUACCGCAUUCCAUCGGAUGUGCCCAGAUGGGAUUAGCUUGUAGGGGGGGUAAAGGCUCACCUAGGCGACGAUCCCUAGCUGGUCUGCGAGGAUGACCAGCCACACUGGAACUGAGACACGGUCCAGACUCCUACGGGAGGCAGCAGUGGGGGAUAUUGGACAAUGGGCGCAAGCCUGAUGCAGCCAUGCCGCGUGUAUGAAGAAGGCCGUCGGGUUGUAAAGUACUGUCGGCGGGGAGGCGUUACACGCAGAAGAAGCACCGGCUAACUCCGUGCCAGCAGCCGCGGUAAUAC